UACGUAGGGGGCAAGCGUUGUCCGGAUUUAUUGGGCGUAAAGAGCGUGUAGGCGGCCACACAGGUCAGCUGUGAAACUCGAGGCUCAACCUCGAGACGUCGGUUGAAACCGUAUGGCUAGAGUCCGGAAGAGGAGAGUGGAAUUCCCGGUGUAGCGGUGAAAUGCGCAGAUAUCGGGAAGAACACCCGUGGCGAAGGCGGCUCUCUGGGACGGUACUGACGCUGAGACGCGAAAGCGUGGGGAGCGAACAGG
rnacentral:rRNA from 1 species